GCCCGCGUGGCGAAAUUGGUAUACGCUGCGGACUUAAAAUCCGCUGAUCUUAGAUCGUCCCGGUUCGAGUCCGGGCGCGGGCACCA
rnacentral:tRNA from 1 species